GCAAAAUAAAUAAAUAAAUAAAAAUCACUAAAAAAAGAAAAAGAAAGAAAAUAAAACAAGCAACAGUUGAAAAAAGAAUACAUUUCAACUCUGAGGAUAUUAUAAUUCAGUAAGACAUUUCCUGUAUGAACUACAAUAUUUGUUUGCCAAAUGAAAAUAUCACACCUUACAUUAUUUCAUUAUUUAUCAAAUAAAAUUUCCAAGUGGUCUCAUUGUACAGGAUUGAAGCAAUUUUUUUGUUUUCUUCAUGGUUCUGGGAACUGAACCCAGAGCCUUAGCAUGUUCUAGGCAAGUGCUCCACCACUGAGCUAUGUCCCCAGCCAUGAAGCGACGUUUUAAGUUGUUUCUCGAUCUUUGCAGUCAUGAUUCGUUUGUCAUUUGUUCUGAAUCUGAUUAAAUGCAGGAACACGGAGCACCUAAUAAGAGUUGGACAUAAGAACUGAGUCUGAAGCUAGCUCUAAGAAUUCCAAGCCUCCAUGAACUCCUCAUGAAAUAAACGUGUUGGGCAAAAAAAUACCAAAACAAAAUGUUCCUCCACCCUCCCGCAAAAAAAGGUGAGAGAUGAUGAAUAUGUUAUAAUCUUUCUCCCAUGUACACACAACAUCAAUUGAGCCCCUUAAAUAUAUACAAUUAAUUUCAGUCAAAUAAAUGAAUAAUAAAAGGACUGUUUAAAAAUAAUCUAGUUAAUAAAUGGGCAAAUGAACUAAACAGACUCUUUUCAAAAGAAGAAAUACAAAGGCCAACAAGUAUAUGAAGGGAUGUUUAAAAUCUUGAGCAAUUAGAGAAAUACAAAUCAAAAGUACACUGAGAUGUCAUCUCACACCAGUCAGACUGGCAGCCGUCAAGACUAUAAACAGAAAAAAAAAAAAAGACUAUAAACAGUAAUAAACUUUGGAGAGGAUGUGGGGAAAAGGAACACUUUUACACAGUUGGCAGGAUUGUAAAUUAGUACAACCACUAUGGAAAUCAGUGUGGAAGUUCUUCAAAAGGCAAGGAACCACCAUAUGACCCAGUUAUACCACUCUUCUGUAUUUAUUCUAAAGAAUCAAAGUCAUUAUGCUACAGUGCUAUAUGCAUAUCCAUGUUUAUAGCAGCACAAUUCACCAUGGUGGGAUUAUGGAACCUGUCUAGGUGUCUAUCAGUGGAUGAAUGGAUUAAAAAAAAUAUAUAUAUAUAUAUAUACACACACACACACACACACACAUAUACACACACUUGGGUUUUAUUCAGUCAUAAAGAAGAAUAAAAUUAUGUAUUUGCAGGAAAAUGGAUGGAACUUGAGAGCAUUAUGUUAAUGAAAAUAAGCCAGACUCAGAAAGUCAAGAACACAUUAUCUCUCAUAUAUGGAAGCUAGAAAGGAAAAAGGAAAAGAAUAGUGUGUGUGUAGGGAUCUCACUAAAAUCAAAGAGAGGGCAGGGGUUGUGGCUCAGUGAUAAAGUGCUCGCCUAGCAUGUGCAAGUGAUAUAUGAUAUUGACAAAAUUAUAUUGUUACAUGGUAUGUGUGUAUGAAUAUGUAACAAUGAGUCCCACUAUCAUAUAUAAUUGUAAUGCAUCAAUAAAAAUAUGGAAAAAAAUAUAACACUAAUGAGCAUAAAAAAUGAACAUUUUGGGGACUACCUGUAUCACUGAGAAUUCUUAGAAAUAAUUUUCAUGAAAAUGAUAAUAUUUAUCUA
rnacentral:lncRNA from 1 species